UUUUCGCCCUCUUUUCCGGACCCUAGAGCCCCAGUGCUCCCGGUCAGGGUCUCGCUCUUUGCGGAACCGCACGGCUCGGCGUUUCCUAUUACGCUGUCUGCAGACUCUUUCACUGCAGCCUGUGUGGGAUCCGCGUUCCAGAGCUACCGCGCCCAGACCAGGAACAAACGAAAGGGGCACAAGAUGCGUUACAGACAAAAUACUACACAAUCAUUUCCAUGAAAAUCCGAUGUGAAACUUACCAGACAUGAUGGCUGAGAUGAAGAGAGACUCCCUGGAGAAGACCUGUGGGACUCCACUCCACAACGUCCUUUUCUGCCUCAGCAAAAUGGCCAAGAACGAAAAUUGUUCAAAAGUCUCCAAAAUUUCAACACAAAUGUCUUACAGUAGAGUGAGAGCAUACACAAAUAUUGUAUUAUAGCUGGGGAUAUACUAGUUUGAGAUUUUCUCCCUCCAUGCCUACUAUUUAAAACCCCUAGAACUCAAUGAUUUGACAAUGAUUUGAUUGCGCGUUACUUUCAAUUUGAAUAUUCAGAGGCAACUGUCUUAUAUCGAUUUUUCAAUAAAAAGCACUACGCAUGGACAUCGUAUAAACUCCACUUUAAUGUAAUAUAGUAGUAUUUUACAUUUUGACCAAAAAGAAACCAUACUUUUUCAAUUUUAUCCUCCUUUUGCAAUAUCAGAGCAUCACACCCCCCUCAUUAAGCACUGCAGCACUGGAUGCUUCUUGUGCGCAACUUUAACACACCAAUUCACCGUAUAUCUGCCAUCACACGUUUACCGCGGCCAGUCUACACGCCAAGAACAUAUUCAAACAUAUUUUUAAGCUUUAUUUCAGAAAAUAGCACAUCAAAGAGAGAAAGAAGUGGGCGUGGCAAAGGCCAGUAGCCAUCUUUGCAAGCUCAGGCCUUAGCAAGUGCUCUGAGUGCAGUCACCUGCUCAAGCCUGCAGGGAGAAGACUCAUCAGCUCUUUGCUUUUAUAUUAUUACGUUAUAUUUUGAGACUUUUAAUUAGUUUAGAGAAUAAAAUUAUAAAUAAAAAUUGCAGAAUAAUGAAAAGUUUCCCAUUGAAGCUCCACAGUCUGACAGGGAGUUUGAAUACACCCUAUUUCAGCACCGAAUCAUUUCCAUCUAAACUUAACACAGCUGAUUAAAGCUAAAACGCGUUCAUUUUCUUUAAUGACCUAUAGAAGGAGGCAUGAAGAACUUUGGUAGCUCUUUCUGGACAUCCCACAGCAACAAUAGGCAUAUAUUCAGAUUGGAAUAUAAAAUGUUGCAAAACACUUUUACCUUUCUUUUUUUUUUUUUUUUUUUUUACAAAUUAGGACGCACAAUAGGUAACUAAAUUAUUCGAAAUGUCACUAAAAAUACAAACAUUUUACACUAACAUUGUCCUAUUCAUCAAGCUGUGAUUAUCUGGAGCAAUCUGGUCUCUCAAACUGGUCAAACGUUAUUCAUUAAAUCCCGGUAUUAAUAUUAUUACUUUAAUUAUCAUGACUGAAAUUAUCAUUACUACAACUAUAUAUUCAUUUCUAUUAUUUGUUUCAGUAGCAGUCGUGGUAGUAGCUGCAGAAUCCCAACUCCAUAUAGAAAGUGAUAGAUUUUGACCUAUAUGACAUGUUAGUAGGUCAUAUUCGUUCCUUUAAAAGCGCUCUUUGUUGAUCACAAGCACUUCACAUGAAGUCCCCUCUUCAUUACAUUACACACACCUAAACUUCUUCCUCCCUGUCCUGUGGUCUUCCAUCAUAGUCAUGGAUUUUCACCCUCUUGUUGCAGCACAGCGGAGCCUCUUCUCCUGCUGCAGGAUUGUUGCAGGGGCUCCACCUAGUGGUCAACAAUCAGAACGUCUUCCCAGCUCACCUGCCUUUAAGUCUGCCUAUUUAUUUACCUGUGUAUCACUUUACUUUUAUAAGUUUGACAAAAUGAGCUGGCCAGUAUUAAAGUGUUUCUGUUUACUAUCAUGUUUAUUCGUGAUCCAAAAACAAAACCUUUCGAAUACAUUUUAGAAAGUGGUCUGUUAUAGAUACACACACAAAUAUAAGGAUGUAUCAGUUUCAGUAUUAAUAUGAAACCUAUUCAAUCAGCAUCUGCCCUUAUUUUGAUUGCAGUUGUUUUCUAGGUUAAAAACAAAAAUGUGUAAUCAUUUAAAAAAAGCAAUACUAAGAUGCUGUGUCAUUUAACAGGAGUUCUACUGAUACACUUCUUUAGGAAAAUCUGGAGCUCCAUGAAAACACUGGACUCCGGUCCAUUAACAGUCAUAAUUAAACAUGCUGAACAUAACAAAGUAUGAGUGUUUAGACAAUAAAUAUGAAUCAAUGGG